UACACCCUUCUGUAGCAAACUCCAAAGAAAGAAAAGAGAGAGAAAGAGAGAGAAUGAGAGAAGGAGAGAAGGAGAAAAAAAGGGGGGAAAUCUAAUUUUUUUUGCAUACUUCCACCCCUCCCAUCCACUCAAAUCAAAGAUAAAAGAUGGAGCAAGAAGAUGAGAGCAUGAAGAAGAGCUUAAGAGCUUGAUAGAAGGACCUGCAUGAAGCUUCAUUUAGUAAGCUUGAUCAAAGGAGAAUAAAAACCAAGAAGGUAUGUUUAUG
rnacentral:lncRNA from 1 species